UACGGAGGGUCCAAGCGUUAUCCGGAAUCAUUGGGCUUAAAGGGUCCGUAGGCGGUUUUGUAAGUCAGUGGCGAAAGCCCAUCGCUCAACGGUGGAACGGCCAUUGAUACUGCAAGACUUGAAUUAUUAGGAAGUAACUAGAAUAUGUAGUGUAGCGGUGAAAUGCUUAGAGAUUACAUGGAAUACCAAUUGCGAAGGCAGGUUAUUACUAAUGGAUUGACGCUGAUGGACGAAAGCGUGGGGAGCGAACAGG
rnacentral:rRNA from 1 species